rnacentral:rRNA from 1 species
GACGAACGCUGGCGGCGUGCUUAACACAUGCAAGUCGAGCGGUAAGGCCCUUUCGGGGGUACACGAGCGGCGAACGGGUGAGUAACACGUGGGUGACCUGCCCUCAGCUCUGGGAUAAGCCUGGGAAACCGGGUCUAAUACUGGAUAUGACUCCAUGACGCAUGUUGUGGGGUGGAAAGCCUUGUGCGGCUGAGGGAUGGGCCCGCGGCCUAUCAGCUUGUUGGUGGGGUGAGGCCUACCAAGGCGACGACGGGUAGCCGGCCUGAGAGGGCGACCGGCCACACUGGGACUGAGACACGGCCCAGACUCCUACGGGA